rnacentral:rRNA from 1 species
UGCAGUCGAGCGCCCCGCAAGGGGAGCGGCAGACGGGUGAGUAACGCGUGGGAAUCUACCCUUUUCUACGGAAUAACGCAGGGAAACUUGUGCUAAUACCGUAUACGCCCUUCGGGGGAAAGAUUUAUCGGGAAAGGAUGAGCCCGCGUUGGAUUAGCUAGUUGGUGGGGUAAAGGCCUACCAAGGCGACGAUCCAUAGCUGGUCUGAGAGGAUGAUCAGCCACAUUGGGACUGAGACACGGCCCAAACUCCUACGGGAGGCAGCAGUGGGGAAUAUUGGACAAUGGGCGCAAGCCUGAUCCAGCCAUGCCGCGUGAGUGAUGAAGGCCCUAGGGUUGUAAAGCUCUUUCACCGGUGAAGAUAAUGACGGUAACCGGAGAAGAAGCCCCGGCUAACUUCGUGCCAGCAG